CAAUGGCUAACUUUGCUCACAGAACAUUUCACUUCAAGCAUCUCCACUACAGCUGGGAGGUUGAGAUGACCAGGAUUUCACCUCUUUCCUCACCAGAAUGAACUCUCCUAUUCUGAAUAUAAAAACGUUUAUGAACGGAGCCCGAAAGGUAAAUUCUUCAACUUUCUCUAGAAGGGGCUGGCACAGAAUGAAGUUCCCGUUAUUGAUUAAGCCCAGGUGGUCUACUCACACAGCAAACAGAUAUUUUACAAAGCUUUAUUACGCCUCAUUAGGAUUCACUCCUUUAGAAGAUUUCUAAUUAUAUUGUCUAAUAAAACUAAACCUUCGAAGUGAUUUGCAUAUUAUAUGAAGAAAUCUCAUACAACAAACUCACAAUGGAUUCAAUUAACAUAAUAGCUAAUUAUAUAUCCCAUCAGCCUUUCGAGCGGCUCAGCAUUCAUGUUGCUCCUGUUUUAGCCUAGAGCAAAGGAGGUUUGAACAUUCGCUUCUAAAUAUUGACUUUUAACUAAUAUCAAAAACGAUUGGAACGCUUUUGUGGAUGAAAAGACAAUGAUUAAACUACAGGAAACAUUUUAGAAGACUUACUUUAAAAGUCUUUGAAACAAUUUCUAUUUCCACGUCAAGCCUCCCCUGUUACCCACCCCGCGCCCGGCUGUACCCUUACAAAAUGACCAGAUAUGGCGAAUUGUUUUGACAAACGGCUGAUUGACAGCUUGGUUAUUUGGAAACUGCCCACUUCCUGCAGUUACAUUUUGUAUAUUUCUCACUGCGCUUUGUAACGCGGUUGUAUUCUCGGCCGGUCGCGGUAUCUAUCAAGGAAGAAAUUUAGGGCUAGAUUAACAGAGACACAGUAAUGAACAGGCGUUCGGGCGCCCUAUAAUUGACUGUUAUUACGGUGUCGUCACAGCGCUCUGUAAUUAAUUCCCUUGUUUUGUUUCGAAGUCGGAUGAGAUAUUCUGGAAAAGCAAAACUGGAUGCCAAAGUUUCCUCAGACCUCAGGAAAAGGCCGGCAGAAACAAAGCCUGCUUUUUUUUUUUCCCCUCUUCCUCUCUCUCUUUAAAGAUUUCAGAUGCGCUGAAGGUUCUCCCAAUUUCGAAACGCCCAGUGGAAAAAGAAGGGACGUAGGGAUACGAUUUUGCCACUCAGUAGAAAACUUACAAUAAAUUGCCUCCCUGUCAAGCUCCUCGCCAAAUGUAAUGAGAAAUCUGCUCGGCAUCAUAUUUCUAUCUUUACAAAAGAUAGCAGAUAAAGUUUGUUGCAGAGUAAAUGGUUUUCUCCGUUACAAUGAUGGCUGCCUUUUCAUUCAUAUUUUAAUGAGGUUAGUAUCUCUGAGACAGCUUUUUCGGGGUGGAGGCCCAUGUCUCCGGUACGAUUACAAUAGGAGUUGCUUUAUUGACAAGUACUAUUCAAAAUCUUCACAGUAUAGAAAGAAAGGCUUUAGUUUUCCACCACUUGUCCAAAUACUUAUUCCUCUCUUACUAUUAAAACACUUUCAGAAAGAGCACUCUCGACUGUGUAGAGCCCCGCACGGCCGGGCAGAGCGCGGCUCAGCCCCAACGCCUUUCAGUCCCAAUUGCAUUUAUUUCUGCAGAAAACUCGCUGGGCAAAGCCCAACAAACAGCCAGCAGAAAUCAGGAGGUUGCACUGGCAGCGGGUUUACAAGCAGCACGCCGACGGAAUAACAGUCGCUAACGAUUGGAGUCUGCCUCCCAACAAACAGGGAGAGAGAAAGUUUACUCAAGGAUCCCACAGCCAACGGAAACCUCAGCAAAAAGAAAUGAAAAAUGGGCAAACCCAACUGCUGGCAAGUCGUGCUCCAAGGUUUUAUUAGUCCCCUUAUUUACACUAUCACUAAAGCAUUUUUCAUGAUGGCAUCAGGGGAUGCAUCCCAAAACUAAAUCUGGGGGUAAAUGCAAGAUGAGCUCUGCCUGAGCCCUAUCAUGUAGCAAUUGGUGCAAAAACUUUCUCGUGCCCCCAAAAGGAAGCACACAUAGCUCCAGCAUUUCUAUAAAUAGGCACUGUGAGGGCUCAUUCAAUUCUUUUUUUUCAUACGUUUGAGGCUUUUUUCGAAGGGUUUGGCACUUCAUUUCCCCGCUCAUGGUGAUGUGCACGCCCUGUGUUCGGGCAUGUGUGGGCCUUGGCCAAGAGUGGAUGGGAAGCCAAGGAAGGGCUGAGGGCUAUGCUGCACACCUGAAUAUCACUUGGAAUACUGACAUGGAAAACCCUUUAUUUUCCAGGAGUUAAAGGGUGAAACGCUUCUUCCUAUGGUACAGGGUUUCUCUAUGCGUAAAGAACCGAGGGCACUAAAAGUGCCUUCCCCCCUCAGCUCACUUAAGUUACUGUUGCAGCAGAAGCUUAGAGGGGGGAUUAAAUUUAGUGCAAGGCAUUGCUACAGCAAUCAGAUUGCAAAAAAAAAAAAAAGAAGAAGAAAAAAAAAAUCCCUCCCGGAGCAACACUGACCUCAAUAGAAGUGAUGCCAGGGCUGAAAUUAGAUUGUGAGGUUGAGUCUCACCUUCUGUCGUAAGGGCUGCAUGGCCUUCCUUCUGCAUUUGCCGGGGCUCUCACUUUGCUAAACUCACACCCCGAUGGGGCGCCGGCCCCAUUCAUCCCCACGGUGGCCGGACGGUGCCGCGCGGUUCGCAGCACAACUUGGAGCACAGCUCCCACCCGCAGCACCCGGCCCUCCUCGCCCGGGGAAUGUGGUGUUUUCCUGCACAAAGUGUUUGCAUCCCAGCGGAUGAAACAGACUUUUAAUAGCAAAAUGUGGUUUGUGGGAUCUUUACUGGAAAAUAGGUUACUCUGCCCUACAAAUGGAUUUGGGAGUGAAAGACUGAAAUAUUCUUUUUGUUUGUUUCCUUUUUUUAUCCUAUUUUUUCUUUCCUUUUUGCUUUGCUUCAUCUCCAUUUUCCUUUUUUUUUUCUUUUUCUCUUUUUUCUCUCUUUUUUCUCUUAUUUCUCUUUCUUUCUUUUUUCUUUUCUUCUUCCUUCCUUCCUUCCUUCCUUCCUUCCUACCUCCCUUCCUUCCUUCUCUUUUUUCUCCCUUUUCCACAAAAUCAUAGAAUCACAAAUAUUGUUCUCUUUCUCUUUCUCUUACUCAUUUCCUUUUAUUCUCCUUUUCCCUUUUUUCUUUUCUUUUUAUUGUUUUCCUUCUUUCUUUCUCUUUUUCUCUUUCAUUCUUUCCCUUUCUUUCUUUCCCUUCCUCUUUUCUUUCUUUCUUUCUUUCUUUCUUUCUUUCUU
ensembl:lncRNA